rnacentral:rRNA from 1 species
CCUACGGGAGGCAGCAGUGGGAAUAUUGCACAAUGGGGGAAACCCUGAUGCAGCGACGCCGCGUGAGUGGAGAAGUAAUUCGUUAUGUAAAGCUCUAUCAGCAGGGAAGAAAAGGACGUUAGCUGAGUAAGAAGCCCCGGCUAACUACGUACCAGCAGCCGCGGUAAUACGUAGGGGGCAAGCGUUACCCGGAUUUACUGGGUGUAAAGGUAGCGUAGACGGCAGUGCAAGUCUGGAGUGAAAGGCGGGGGCUCAACCCCCGUACUGCACUGGAAACUGUACGGCUGGAGUGCAGGAGAGGUGAGUGGAACUCCUAGUGUAGCGGUGAAAUGCGUAGAUAUUUGGAAGAACACCAGUGGCGAAGGCGGCUUACUGGACUGUAACUGACGUUGAGGUUCGAAAGCGUGGGGAGCAAACAGGAUUAGAUACCCUUGUAGUC